GGCUCCAUAGUGUAGUGGUUAGCACGUCUGCUUUACAUGCAGAAGGUCCUGGGUUCAUGCCCAAGGUGGAGCCA
rfam:Pteropus alecto contig89872, whole genome shotgun sequence.